rnacentral:rRNA from 1 species
UCGGCAGCUUCCAUGCAGUCGACGGCAGCAUCGACUUCGGUCUGGUGGCGAGUGGCGAACGGGUGAAUACUGUAUCUGAGUUCGCCCUGUACCGGGGGAUAACUAGCCGAACCGUAGCUUAUACCGCAACCACCCUACUGGGGAAAGCAGGGGAUCCCACGACCUUGAACUAUUGGAGCGGCCGAUAUCGGAUUAACUAGUUGGUGAUGUAACGGCUCUCCAAGGAGACUAUCCCUAACUGGUUUGAAAAGACGACCAACAACCCUGGGACUGAGACACGGGCGAAACUCCUACCGGAGGGAGCAAUGGGGAAUUUUGGACAAUGCGGGAGACCCUGAUCCCUCCUUCCCGCGUGUGCCAUUAACGCCUUCGGGUUGUAAAGCACUUUUGGCAGGAAAGAAACGUCAUGUCCUAGUACCCCGUGACACUGACAGUACCUGCGCAAUAAUCACCGGCAAUUUACGUGCCAACAGCCGCGGUAAUACGUAGGGUGCAAGCGAUAAUCGGAAUUACUGGGCGUAACCCGUGCUCACGCUGUUCCUAAAUAACUAUGUGAAAUCCCAGAGCUUAACUUUGGAACUGCAUUUUUAACUACCGAGCUAUAGUGUGUCAGAGGGAGGUGGAAUUCCGCGUGUAUCUGUGAAAUGCGUACAUCUGCGGAGGAACACCGAUGGCGAAGGCAGCCUCCUGGGAUAACACUGACGCUCAUGCACGAAAGCGUGGGGGAGCAAACAGGAUUAAAUACCCUGGUAGUCCACGCCCUAAACGAUGUCAACUACCCUCCUUGGGGAGUUCGGUCCUUGGUAGCGCAUCUAACGCGUGAACUUGACCGCCUGGCGAGUACGGUCGCACGAGUUAAAACUUCAUAGGGAAUUGACCAGGAACCCUACACAACGCUGUUGAGAUGAUGUGGAUUAUAUUCGAUAGCAACGCUGUAAUAUCCCUCUACCUACCGCUUGACCAUGUCUGGAACUGCCUGCAGGAGAUGUCGUACUGCUCGCGAAGAGAUGCUGGUACUACAAGCUGCUGCAUGGCUGUCGCUCAGCUCGUGUCGUUGACACUGAUGAGUAGGUCCUCGCAACGAGAGCAACACCUGUCAUUACCUAGCCUACGAAGUAGGUUCAGUCUAAUCGAAUCUGUCUGUGCACGUAUCUGUACGAAGUUUGGCGAAUGAAACCUCUCCAG